AAGGAAUUCUCCAUCUGUGUACAGUAGUAGGAGUGGGGAGGAGAUAAUUCAGGCUGAGGGAGAAGACUAGAUUCAAAGGCAAUCCAUGGGGUUAACUAUCUAUGCUGACCUUCUCCAAGUUUCCUUUCCAUAGUGAAAGAAUUUGGAAAUGGUAAAAAAAUUAGGAAGCAGGAUCAGAGCGACUCAGGAACUGAGCCUUGUGA
rnacentral:lncRNA from 1 species